rnacentral:rRNA from 1 species
CCAGACUCCUACGGGAGGCAGCAGUGGGGAAUAUUGCACAAUGGGGGGAACCCUGAUGCAGCGACGCCGCGUGAAGGAAGAAGUAUUUCGGUAUGUAAACUUCUAUCAGCAGGGAAGAAAAUGACGGUACCUGACUAAGAAGCCCCGGCUGACUACGUGCCAGCAGCCGCGGUAAUACGUAGGGGGCAAGCGUUAUCCGGAUUUACUGGGUGUAAAGGGAGCGUAGGCGGCAGUGCAAGUCAGAAGUGAAAGCCCAAGGCUCAACCAUGGGACUGCUUUGGAAACUGUGCAGCUAGAGUGCAGGAGAGGUAAGUGGAAUUCCUAGUGUAGCGGUGAAAUGCGUAGAUAUUAGGAGGAACACCAGUGGCGAAGGCGGCUUACUGGACUGUAACUGACGUUGAGGCUCGAAAGCGUGGGGAGCAAACAGGAUUAGAUACCCGUGUACGA